GCGGCGGACGGGUGAGUAAUGUCUGGGAAACUGCCUGAUGGAGGGGGAUAACUACUGGAAACGGUAGCUAAUACCGCAUAACGUCGCAAGACCAAAGAGGGGGACCUUCGGGCCUCUUGCCAUCAGAUGUGCCCAGAUGGGAUUAGCUAGUAGGUGGGGUAAUGGCUCACCUAGGCGACGAUCCCUAGCUGGUCUGAGAGGAUGACCAGCCACACUGGAACU
rnacentral:rRNA from 1 species